AAGAUUAAGCCAUGCAUGUCUAAGUAUAAGCAAUUAUACGGCGAAACUGCGAAUGGCUCAUUAAAUCAGUUAUCGUUUAUUUGAUAGCACCUUACUACAUGGAUAACCGUGGUAAUUCUAGAGCUAAUACAUGCUAAAAAUCCCGACUUCGGAAGGGAUGUAUUUAUUAGAUUAAAAACCAAUGCCCCUCGGGGCUCUCUGGUGAUUCAUGAUAACUCCUCGAAUCGCAC
rnacentral:rRNA from 1 species